UACGAAGGGGGCUAGCGUUGUUCGGAAUUACUGGGCGUAAAGCGCACGUAGGCGGAUCGAUCAGUCAGGGGUGAAAUCCCAGGGCUCAACCCUGGAACUGCCUUUGAUACUGUCGAUCUGGAGUAUGGAAGAGGUGAGUGGAAUUCCGAGUGUAGAGGUGAAAUUCGUAGAUAUUCGGAAGAACACCAGUGGCGAAGGCGGCUCACUGGUCCGGUACUGACGCUGAGGUGCGAAAGCGUGGGGAGCAAACAGGAUAGAAACCUG
rnacentral:rRNA from 1 species